AUCCUCCCCAGCUCUCAUAACCCAAGCCAUUUGUGUGUUUCCUUCCCUUUUCUGUGACCGACCGCAGGGCCAAAAUACAUGGAACCCUUUUCGGCUGUUAACCCCAGCGCGGUUGGUCUUUUUAGUACCUCCAGGAAUUUCCCGAACCCCUGGUGAUCUGGGUGAUUUUUGGAUAUGUGUCUCACCCAGAUCAGGGCUACCAGGGGAUGUAAUAUUUAAAGGGGUACUCCUAGGUUUAGGGGUACAUCCAGAAAACAAGGGGAACUGUGUCCUGCACAAUGGGAUUAUGUGUCACACUAAGGGGAGGUGAUGUGUGGGUGGCAACUCGUGUAUGAUUGGUGUAUUGUAUAAUUACUGUGAAUCUCUCCCUUGCAUGGGAGAAUGCUUUAAAAGAAGGUUGUGUGAUUAAAAGUUCAGUUCUGCUCCUGAUGCUGUGUGUCGUCCAGUCAUUGGGAUUGAUGUUGGGAUAUUGUUAGAUUGUCUUGCUUGCUGGAAUUAUUGCCUUAUGGAUUUUUAAUACUUGUUCCUGAGCCUCACUGGGAUCUUAAGUGGAGAUAACCUGUGGAAUAUCAGCUCUCUGCUACAUUGGUUGGCAGCGCCGGGAUCCAGACUCACAAAGGAACAAGGAUUAAUGGAGAUUGAUUACUCCACAUUAAAACGAUCCACACUGAAAGAUCUUCUGGAAGCAAGAGGCAUCCCAGCCAGCAAUAAAACAAAGGCAACACUCAUCUCUGAAGUAAUGGCCGAAUACCGAACAGAGGAUGAUUCAGUCACCGAACAGAGGGAUGAGACAGAUGGAACAGAGCAAGCAGCGUUUCAAAGGCAGCUCCAAUUCAGACUGUCCUUUAAUGGGGAGAAUCCACCGAUAGAGAUAAUCUCCAAGACAAUGAUCGAGGUCCAGGAGUUUAUAAUGCGGCAAAGAAGGCCACAAACACCGGAUAGAAGCCCAGCAGUGUCUAUGGUGCAAGAGGGUAAGCCGAAAAUCCCAUACCAGGCGUUUAAAAUGUAUGUAGAAGCAGAGGAAGAUAUAGAUGCAUUCCUCCAGAACUUUGAGAGACUGUGUAUGCUGCAUAAAAUAAAUAUGGAAGACUGGGUCCCCAUCUUAGCAGGACGAUUAACGGGGAGAGCCGCUGAAGCAUACCGUACUAUACCAGAUCUGGAGAUUAGAAAUUACAGCCGGGUAAAAGAAGUAAUUCUGGCCCGGUAUGCUUCUGGUGUAAUAGGCGCUUCAGGGAAUUGAAAAAAGUGGAAAAAGACUCGCAUGCAGAAUGGGCUUGCCGAUUACAAAGGGCAGCUCUCGGAUGGGUACAUGCGAACCAGGCACGGUCCAUGGAGGACCUAUUACAAAUGCUGCUGCCAGAACAGUUUUAUGACGGGGUACCCAGGAGUGCCCAGGAGUGGAUGAGAGACCGUAACCCCAUGUCUAUCACAGAAGCGGCUAAAAAGGCAGAUGAUUAUAUGGAUGCCCGCAGGCAGCACAAGCUUGUGGGUGUUAACCCAGCUGUGCGACCCCUAGACAGAAACAGCUUUUCCGCUGGCACAAACGCACCACCAGCUCCUAUCGCUACUCAACCGAGGUUUCGCCAACCCUCCUCGGUGCAAUGCCACCAGUGCCAGAGGUGGGGACACUACAAGCGGGACGGCCCGCAGCUGCGAGACCCAUCCACAUUGAUCCGACCAGGUCCACCCCCACCACCGAGAGCAGCAGCACAACACUACCAGGACGAGACACCCGCCGCUUAUGGCUCUGCAGUUCCCGUCACUACCAUAGAACAGUGGGAAGUACUACAUGAAGACAACCCGCUACAAGCAAAUCGUCAGCAUCUCAGGCAAACAGUCUACCUGGAGGGAAAUGCGGUGCAGGGACUCCGAGAUUCAGGGCCACCGUAAGCUUGGUCCAAAGCCACUUGGUCUCGGACAAAGCCAAAACAAGCAGGACUGUGGCCGUCAGGGUUGCCGGGGGAGCCGUAUACCGGCUGAAUACAGCAAGAGUUCAUUUGCAUUGCGGUGCGGGGUCGGGAAAUGUGGAAGUGGGGUUGAUGCCACAACUACCCGCAGAGGUGGUACUAGGAAAUGACCUGGGAAAGCUCACUUCUGCUUUUGAGCCCCAAACCACAACCACUGAGGAAGCGCAUCCAGUGGUCACCAGGCAACAGGCCUGCACUCAGGACUGCAACACACUGUCGGAGGUUCAGGUAAGAGAACCUUCCCCUUCCCUAGACUGUGUUCCUUGGGCCCCUCCUAACGAAUUUGCGGCAGAGGUGAUCACUGAUCCUACCCUACAGGUAAAUAGAAACAAAGUCACCUCUGACCAACCUGGGGCAGAGGGGGAAAGAUUUGUAUGGUAUAGGUAGUUGUUAUACAGAGAGUCAGACAAGCAGCUAGCUGGGUCAGAUCAGAUUGUUCUAAGACAGUUAGUCGUACCACAGAGGUACCGGGCCGAAUUGCUCCUGAUAGCUCCUGAUAUUCCGCUAUCCGGGCAUUUGGGGGUUAGUCGUGCCCGAUACCGACUGACCAAGAGUUUCUUUUGGCCAGGAAUUAGCCAGGAAGUAUGUAAAUAUUGCAGUACCUGCGAUACGUGCCAGAGGGUAGGGAAGAGGGGGGACCGGCGGAAGGCAAAGUUGCAUCCGCUACCUAUAAUUGAGGAACCGUUUUAUAGAAUAGCAGUAGAUAUCAUAGGCCCCCUUCGGAAACCUAGCCCUUCUGGCAAGAAGUAUAUUUUGAUGGUGGUGGAUUACGCCACCCGCUACCCGGAGGCGGUGGCCUUGACAAAUAUCCAUGCAGAAACCGUAGCUGAGGCCCUGAUGCAAAUUUUCUCCCGGAUGGGGUUACCCAGGGAGAUCAUUUCGGAUGAGGGUACUCAGUUCACUGCAGAGGUCACCCAGCAUCUCUGGAAAUUCUCUGACGUUAAACCUAUAAUCAGCGCCCCCUACCAUCCCCAGACUAAUGGGCUCUGCGAACGGUUCAAUGGUACAUUAAAACAAAUGCUCCGAACCUUUGCUGAGACCCACCGGGACUGGGAGCGAUUCCUGCCACACCUCCUCUUCGCUUUCCGGGAGGUGUCGCAGGAAUCCACCGGGUUUUCCCCAUUCGAACCUAAUUAGGGAGCAGACGGUACCCCAAUUGUACCAUAUGUGUUGGCACUCCAAGACCGCCUAGAAGCGCUAACCAGGGCGGUAAUGGAAAACCUUCAGGCGGCUCAGACGCACCAACGUACCUGAUAUGAUCGAGGCGCCAGGGGCCGUAGCUUCCAGGUAGGGCAGAAAGUUUUAAUUUUAAAACCUGUCCGACAUGAUAAGCUACAGGCCGCCUGGCAAGUCCUUAUAGAGUGGUGGAACAGAGAUGUGACACCACUUAUAUAAUUGGCCCCUGCGCAGGGACUGGACGGCGACGCAUGCUCCAUGUGAACAUGAUGAAGCCCUACCAGGAACGCUCAGAAGAGGUGACCGCUAUUGACAGCCUUCCCCUCCCAGAUCUACUGGGAGAUGGUUAGAUGUCUGGGGAUUUAGGAAAAGUUGUGCUGGGAGACCGGCUGAGCCCACAGGAACGUACCGAGGUUCAACAGCUGCUAAGAGAAAAGCAGGAUACCUUCUCUAAUGUGCCUGGGUGCACUCCUCUAGCCCCUCACCGGGUAUAAACCCCAGGCCAACUCCCCAUGCGCCAGACCCCGUCCCGCAUCCCUUAAGUGGUGCAGGAGAACAUAUGCAAGGAGAUCGAUGAGAUGCUCCAACUGGGGGUGAUUGAGCCCUCAGACAGCCCCUGGGCUUCUCCUGUAGUCCUCGUACCAAAGCGAGACGGUACGACCCGCUUCUCCGUGGACUACCGGAGGUUGAACAAAAAGACAGUAUCAGACGCGUAUCCUAUGCCAGGAUAGAUGACUGCUAGACCGGAUGGCCAGAGGCCAAUACCUCACUUCUAUUGAUCUAUGUAAGGGGUAUUGACCGAUUCCCUUGUCUCCGGACACCAUCCCAAGUCAGCCUUUGUCACCCCAUUCGGCCUGUACCACUUUAAAGUCAUGCCGUUUGGGAUGAAAAACGCUCCGGCUACCUUCUAGAUGGGUUCCAGGAGUACACCGACUCCUAGAUGGGUUCCAGGACUGUAGCGGAGCAGUAGUAUUAUCCACGGUAUCUCCGCUGGUAGACAGAAUCAAGCAGGCACAAAGCAGGUAAAAUCCAGGUAGCGUAGUUACAAUCCCUUAUUCCCAAGAACUAGACGACACAUAGCUUGGAGGUCAACUGAGGUUUUAUUUUCAGGUCACGGUAUUUAUGGGAUUCCCCAUGCAAGGGGUUUCCUUACUGACAUUUCAGGGGUUGUAAAGUAGGGGACUACAUGGGGAACUGACCAACCCACACAUUUUUCCCAUCAUGCACUGCUGGACGUGAGGGAUACUCCCACUGGAAUAUACUGUUAAUGGGAUUAUCCCACUGUGCAGCAGAACUCACAUUUUACAUUAAAAUACAUAACUUUAACAAUAUUCACUAGUUUUACACGAAUGGACGUUCGGUAGAUAGCUGGAGGCUGAGCGCAUCGUUCGUGAGAAUACCGCUCAGCUCCCAGUCUACGAAAUACAUAUAAUUUCUAACGUUUUAAAAUACUGAUUAUCGUAAGGGGAAUAAACUACCGAACGGCCGAGGUUCCCGAACGGCCUGGAAGUUCAGCGGUGUUCGCGCCGUCGAGUAGCCGUUUUUAGUUCCAGGCGCUCGAUGACAAAACACCGUUGGGCUAACAAAAGAAACAAGAUGGCCGACCGCCGCGUGAUCCGUAUUCGAACGACGGCCACCUAGAAACACACUUAAUUACCGAUUGCAACAUUGUUGCAAUCGGUUAAUGGGUGCCACACAACCCCCUGUGUGUGGCUCUGCGUUCGGUAUGUUAUUCGUUUCACGAACAGUGUUUAACUCACUGUUCGUGAAACUUCAUUAGGAAUGCUGGGGUUUUCAUACCGCCAGCAUACGAAUGCCCUCAUUCGCCUGAAAUACAAAUAUCAUUGAUUUUUAUGGCUUAGCAACAAUACACACAUCCUUAUACAUUAAUAGUCUCUGGUGGCUAGUUUUGCCACAAGGACUACACCUGUGCAUAUCUGGACGAUAUUGCCAUUUUUAGCAAUACCUGGCAGGAGCACUUGGCCCAUAUUGGAACGGUUCUAGACAGGUUAGGGAGGCCGGUCUGAUGUUGAAACCAGCCAAAUGCAGUAUAGGAAUGGGCUGUGGGAAACAGAAACCAGAACCAGCCAAAGUAGAGGCCGUAGCCCAAUGGCCCAACCCUGGGACUAAGACUCAGGUGCUUGCAUUUCUCGGGACAGGGGGAUACUAUAGGAAGUUUGUCCCCAUAUAGCACCCUGGUCAAAUCCCUUACUGACCUGACCAGUAAGAACCUUCCCCGCCAAGUAACCUGGACCCCGGAGUGUGAGCAGGCAUUUCAACAUCUGAAAAAUGCACUUAUCAAUGCCCCUGUCUUGGCCGCUCCCAAUCCAGCUAAACGUUUUCUUGUUCACACAGACGCUUCUAUGUCCCGACUUGGGGCAGUGCUGAGCCAAGUCGGGGCCGAUGGCGGAGAACAUCCCGUGGCUUACAUCAGUCGCAAGUUGUUACCCAGAGAAGUAAGCUAUGCCGCCAUCGAGAAGGAAUGCCUGGCUGUGGUGUGGGCCCUAAAGAAGUUGCAGCUGUAUUUGUAUGGACAGCCAUGAAUCACAACCCAUUGGUAUGGCUGAACCGGGUGGCUGGGGACAAUGCCAGGCUGCUGCGCUGGAGUUUGGCCCUACAGCCCUUUGACUUUAACAUUCAGUACCGCCCGGGCAAACAAAAUGGAAACGCUGACGGGUUGUCUAGACAAACAGACUUGGAGAAAUGAUCCGUGAGCACCCCGGACACCCCCAAGCCGAUCCGUGCUGGAUCAGACUGUGUAUGCCGGCUUGUGGGCAAGGGGGAGCAGUGUAGCGGAUGGCAUUGGGCUGUCCUCAAAAUUAUGUAUAUUCCUAUGUGUUUGGUUAAAUUGUGCCAUGUGUAUGUGAAGUGUAAGCAGCAUUCGUUUGAUUGUUCGGUAAAAUCACUCCAGUUAUUAUGCGAGUGAAACUACCGAACAAUCAGGCCACCCUAGGAGUAAGUGUGCAUUCAAUUACUGUUCACAACAAUGUUGCAAAUGGGUAAUUGGCAAUUCAUGUAGUGUGUUCUUUGUCCUCUGGGUGGCUGCCAUUCGGGAGACGAACACGUGGCGGUGGCCAUUUUAAACUCCCGAACAGCAGUGUUUUGCCGUCAAGUGUCUGGAGCCCAAAUCGGACACUCGGUUAGCCAAACACCGCUGAGACCUCCACACUGCCGCCAAUUAGUGUAAAAACUACCGAACGGCUUCCUGUUCAGUAGAAAGAACCCCGCGAACAAGGGGAUUUACCCGAAUCCUCCCCAGCUCUCAUAACCCAAGCCAUUUGUGUGUUUCCUUCCCUUUUCUGUGACCGACCGCAGGGCCAAAAUACAUGGAACCCUUUUCGGCUGUUAACCCCAGCGCGGUUGGUCUUUUUAGUACUUCCAGGAAUUUCCCGAACCCCUGGUCCGAUCUGGGUGAUUUUUGGAUAUGUGUCUCACCCAGAUCAGGGCUACCAGGGAAUGUAAUAUUUAAAUGGGUUCUCCUAGGUUUAGGGGUACAUCCAGAAAACAAGGGGAACUGUGUCCUGCAUAAUGGGAUUAUGUGUCACACUAAG